GUUUCCUACGGGACGCAGCAGUGGGGAAUAUUGCACAAUGGGGGAAACCCUGAUGCAGCGACGCCGCGUGAGUGAAGAAGUAAUUCGUUAUGUAAAGCUCUAUCAGCAGGGAAGAAAAUGACGGUACCUGAGUAAGAAGCCCCGGCUAACUACGUGCCAGCAGCCGCGGUAAUACGUAGGGGGCAAGCGUUAUCCGGAUUUACUGGGUUUAAAGGGUGCGUAGGCGGGCUUUUAAGUCAGCGGUAAAAAUUCGGGGCUCAACCCCGUCCGGCCGUUGAAACUGGGGGCCUUGAGUGGGCGAGAAG
rnacentral:rRNA from 1 species